UGGGCUGGGGCUCAGUGGUAGAGCUCGCUUAGCAUGUGUGAGGCACUGGGUUCGAUCCUCAGCACCGCAG
rnacentral:tRNA from 1 species